UACGGGGGGAGCAAGCGUUGUUCGGAUUUACUGGGCGUAAAGGGCGCGUAGGCGGUCAGUGCAAGUCAGUUGUGAAAUCUCCGGGCUUAACUCGGAAAGGUCAACUGAUACUGCUCGACUAGAGUGCGGAAGGGGCAACUGGAAUUCUUGGUGUAGCGGUGAAAUGCGUAGAUAUCAAGAGGAACACCUGCGGCGAAGGCGGGUUGCUGGGCCGACACUGACGCUGAUGCGCGAAAGCUAGGGGAGCGAACGGG
rnacentral:rRNA from 1 species